rnacentral:tRNA from 1 species
CAUUAGAUGGCUGAACACUUAAGCAAUGGUCUCUUAAACCACUUCAUAGUAUUAUAAUACUUCUAAUGA